rnacentral:rRNA from 1 species
GACGAACGCUGGCGGCGUGCCUAACACAUGCAAGUCGAACGGGACUUAUGGAAUGCGGCCUAGCCAAAUGAAAUAAGUUUAGUGGCGAACGGGUGAGUAACGCGUGAGCAACCUGCCUUUCAGAGGGGGACAACAGUUGGAAACGACUGCUAAUACCGCAUAAUGCAUUCGAGGGGCAUCCCUUGAAUGCCAAAGAUUUAUCGCUGAAAGAUGGGCUCGCGUCUGAUUAGAUAGUUGGUGGGGUAACGGCCUACCAAGUCGACGAUCAGUAGCCGGACUGAGAGGUUGAACGGCCACAUUGGGACUGAGAUACGGCCCAGACUCCUACGGGAGGCAGCAGUGGGGAAUAUUGGGCAAUGGGGGAAACCCUGACCCAGCAACGCCGCGUGAAGGAAGAAGGCUUUCGGGUGUAAACUUCUUUAGUCAGGGACGAAGGACGUGACGGUACCUGCAGAAAAAGCAACGGCUAACUACGUG